GGCGGCAGGCCUAACACAUGCAAGUCGAGCGGUAGCACAGAGAGCUUGCUCUCGGGUGACGAGCGGCGGACGGGUGAGUAAUGUCUGGGAAACUGCCUGAUGGAGGGGGAUAACUACUGGAAACGGUAGCUAAUACCGCAUAAUGUCGCAAGACCAAAGUGGGGGACCUUCGGGCCUCAUGCCAUCAGAUGUGCCCAGAUGGGAUUAGCUAGUAGGUGGGGUAACGGCUCACCUAGGCGACGAUCCCUAGCUGGUCUGAGAGGAUGACCAGCCACACUGGAACUGAGACACGGUCCACACUCCUACGGGAGGCAGCAGUGGGGAAUAUUGCACAAUGGGCGCAAGCCUGAUGCAUCCAUGCCGCGUGUGUGAAGAAGGCCUUCGGGUUGUAAAGCACUUUCAGCGGGGAGGAAGGCGUUAAGGUUAAUAACCUUGUCGAUUGACGUUACCCGCAGAAGAAGCACCGGCUUACUCCGUGCCAGCAGCCGCGGUAAUACGGAGGGUGCAAGCGUUAAUC
rnacentral:rRNA from 1 species